CGAAAGCCUGACGGAGCAAUACCGCGUGAGGGAGGAAGGCUCUUGGGUUGUAAACCUCUUUUCUCAGGGAAGAAUUCAAUGACGGUACCUGAGGAAUCAGCAUCGGCUAACUCCGUGCCAGCAGCCGCGGUAAUACGGAGGAUGCAAGCGUUAUCCGGAAUGAUUGGACGUAAAGCGUCCGCAGGUGGCAUUGAAAGUCUGCUGUCAAAGAGUCUGGCUCAACCAGAUAAAGGCAGUGGAAACUACAAAGCUAGAGUACGUUCGGGGCAGAGGGAAUUCCUGGUGUAGCGGUGAAAUGCGUAGAGAUCAGGAAGAACACCGGUGGCGAAAGCGCUCUGCUAGGCCGUAACUGACACUGAGGGACGAAAGCUAGGGGAGCGAAUGGGAUUAGAUACCCCAGUAGUCCUAGCCGUAAACGAUGGAUACUAGGUGUUGCUUGUAUCGACCCGAGCAGUACCGUAGCUAACGCGUUAAGUAUCCCGCCUGGGGAGUACGCAGGCAACUGUGAAACUCAAAGGAAUUGACGGGGGCCCGCACAAGCGGUGGAGUAUGUGGUUUAAUUCGAUGCAACGCGGAGAACCUUACCAGGGCUUGACAUGUCGCGAAUCCUUGUGAAAGCAGGGAGUGCCUUCGGGAGCGCGAACACAGGUGGUGCAUGGCUGUCGUCAGCUCGUGUCGUGAGAUGUUGGGUUAAGUCCCGCAACGAGCGCAACCCUCGUUUUUAGUUGCCAUCAUUAAGUUGGGCACUCUAGAGAGACUGCCGGUGACAAACCGGAGGAAGGUGGGGAUGACGUCAAGUCAGCAUGCCCCUUACGUCCUGGGCUACACACGUACUACAAUGCUACGAACAGAGGGCAGCAAGCAUGCGAAUGCAAGCUAAUCCCGGAAAUCGUAGCUCAGUUCAGAUCGCAGGCUGCAACUCGCCUGCGUGAAGUUGGAAUCGCUAGUAAUUGCAGGUCAGCAUACUGCAGUGAAUUCGUUCCCGGGCCUUGUACACACCGCCCGUCACACCAUGGAAGCUGGUAGUGCCCGAAGUCAUUACCCCAACCUUUCGGGGAGGGGGAUGCCUAGGCAGGA
rnacentral:rRNA from 1 species